UACAUGAGUAGCUAACGUUAGUCAUAAUAGUUGGGUGUAAAAAAUACUUCGACGGUGCACACAAACUUUUAUAACAGCAGUUACUGUAAAAUGGUUAAAUGCAUUGAAAAUUACAAAGUUUACUUUAUUUUUAGCUCGUAGGGAUAAAAUCUAAUGACAAGCUAACUAAUAGCCGCCUGACGAAGGUAUAACAACUUGUAAUUUUGACGUUUAGGUAUGAAAGUAUAGAAAGCAAAGAGGAUUAGAGACCCUUGUAGUCUAUACUGUAAAAGAUAAGUGCUAGCGUAUUUUUCGCUAAACUAACGUGCAAGCGCUUUACCUGGGUAGUAAAACCGCAAGGUUUAAACUUAAAAAAAUUGGCGGGACUUAAUUUAACGGUGGAGCAUGUGAUUUAAUGCGGUAAUCCUCGCAAAAUCUUACUAGUAUUCGCGUAAAUAGUAAACUUUACUUAAGUUAAGGGUUACACAUUGCGUUAGGCACUGCAUGGCUGUCGUCAGUUCGAGCUUUAAAGAUUAGAAUUAAGUUUUUAUAUCGAACGCAACCCUUGAGACUGCAUAGUAGCAACACUAGCAGUUUAGCGCCGCUUGUGCUUAGAACCAAAUACUCUUUUGUUCUAUGCGAUUCGGUGCGCUAUAAGGAUGAGGUCAAGUCUUUAUGAUCUACAAAUACUAGGCUAUACAUUUGUUACAAUGGGAAAAACAACGAGUCUUAUAUCUUCAACGAGAAAAAAGCUCUAAAAAUUCCCCUAGUGCGAAGUAUUUCUUUAAACUUAGAAAUAUGAAGUCGGAAUCGUUAGUAAUCGCAUAAUAGUAAGGUGCGGUGAAUAACAACAUUAAGUUUGCACACACCGCCCAUCACGCUCGGAUAGUCGUCUGCACCCAAGGGUCGCUAGUUACAAAAUAUUAAGUAGAAAUGCUGGCUACGGUGUACACUAUAAGUUUCUAGGUACCACCAAGUGUAGGGGGUGAUUUGAGUGAAG
rnacentral:rRNA from 1 species